GCUGGGCAUGGUGGCGCGUGCCUGUAAUCCCAGCUACUCGGGAAGCUGAGGCAGGAGAAUCGCUUGAACCAGGGAGUCGGAGGUUGCAGUGAGCCGAGGUCACGCCAUUGCACUCCAGCCUGGUGACAGAGUGAGACUCUGUUUCAA
rnacentral:SRP_RNA from 2 species